GCCAAAACUUCUAUUUCGUGGAAUCCAGAUUGCUUGGUGGGCGCAGGAGGCCAGUGAGAUGGCCUUUGAAGGAGUCCCGGAGGUCCAUUCCACCAACGGAAGCAAUCGUUGAAAUGAGAUUGAAGAGUUCCACGUGAUACCAAAUAAGUGAGGUUAUGGGGGACUGUGCAUCCAAGGGAGUAGACUGGUAGUGUCGCACCAAAAGUGCGUGGAAUUUGGAGGGUAGAAUGGCUGAACUGUAUCCGUCGAUUCAGAUGCUAGGAGAGCACCACGAAGUUCUAAUAGUGGGAUGGUGAGACCCUUUGUGCUUGGUUUGACGAUUGAAGAACUCCCGACGGGAUGAGAGAGUUGGUAACCCAACUGGAUGCCUCGUGGAAAUUCUCGCCAUUUCGUCACAAACUCCCCGGGUAGGGAGGCAACCCAAUUCUUGCAAGAAUGAUGGAAUAAUUUCAUGAGAACUUCUGCCGGUGUGACGGUACUGAGCAGGUCCAUCAGAUUGAAUGAGUGGGCGACAGACAAGGAGAGCUGACGCUUGAUUGAGCAGUUUUCUGUGAAAGAUACAAGAGAUACGAAUGCAUAGACAUCUGACGUCUUGAGUUCCUUGAGGAUCAAUGCGCUGGGGGAGGCAUCGUCAAAGAAUACGUCAGUGAUUGUGGGCUCUUCUUCUAGGCACGCAUUGUAACUCUCUUCCCACAAGCAGAGUGAGAAUCUUCCACUGCUGAGAAGGUGCAUAAAUGAAGCUCGGAUGUGGAGAGCUCCUUCCAGAACUUCGAAGCGUUUGAAGUUCAAUGAGUCCAGGAGGGACCAGUGAGGAUUUGCGGAUGUUGAAUCCGUGAGACCUCUGUGAUAAGACACGAGAGAAGCAUGAGUAAGCCGUGAGAUCUCAGGAGCAGAUUCUAUCCAAUGGUAAGAUUUGAGUUUUGGAAUUUCACUGGGUAGCGAAAUAUUGAAGCAAUUGUAGUAUGUUUCAGCCGUCGUUCGCUCGUCAGGAUCCAUGGAGAGAUAUGGAUCCACUUCCCUUGUGACAAUAUAGCCGAACACAGUCUUCAUCAGCCAUGGGAGUCCGUGACACAAGAAGAUGGCAUCAUUGAGCGGGCUAGCACAAUAAGGUUUACCACCGAGAAUGAGAUCAACGGUUUGCUGAAGUUUCCAUGUUGGAGCAGCUAUUGGAGCGUCGAGUGGAAUAGUAAUGAGCGAUCGAUCAACUGUACAAUUUGUAAGUUUUCCGGAGGCGCUCGGCAGGUUGAACGCCUUGGAUGUGAAUGUGGAGUUUGGCAGUCGCGAAGACAUUGUGGUAUUCAAGCAGAAAUUGGAACGACUGCGCUUCCCAUUCACUCCGCAGAUGGAUAGCAUUGUUGAAUUUUGUGGCAGAUUGAGGCAGUAAAGAAGGCUGGUAGACAUGAUGUUCGUUUGAGUGCCUCUAUCUCGUGCCACAUGGCCAGAAAUAGUGUCGCCAGUUGCUGAUAGAAUGUUGACAAUAGCCGUGACAAGGAGGAUUUUGAGUGUAGCUUCAAAUAUUGGGUUUUCCGUUUGUGGUAUCAUCGCUAGCACAUUGGAUGUCGAAGGACCAGACGCACUCCUUGCGCCAAAUUGGAUGGAAAGCUUCACAGGAUCCAAAGCAGAGGAGCUGCAGUCGGUGUGAGCUUCAGAAUUGGCAAAGAAAUGAUCAUGAAGCAACAAGUGGUGUUUUCCUUGACACGGUUGCCAGUCUUGGGACGUGCAACUGUACAUCGAGUAGGUGGAGAAACAGUUUAGGCAAAGACUCAGCUGUUUCUUUGAUUGGAAGUGCUCAUCCGAAUUUAUGUUGAGACGAGUUUGGCAUCGGAUGAGCGGGCGGCAUUUUUCAUGGCAAUACCGACGAGUGAUGUUAUCAGUGGACAUAACGUUACAAGCAUGGGACUGGAUGAGAGGUCGUGAUAUAUGCGAUAGUGGGUAGACAGUUGGAAGGGCAACCUUGUCCGGGAUGUGAUUUAUGAGAAUGAUGGUACUACACACGAUUGCCAGUAGUAGGAUAAUCAUUUGGCAAUGCUUCUGGCUGGGUUGCGGCAGAAAUGACGUCAUAAAAAGCAUCAAGGUAGGUAGAUCUGACAUCAUUAACCCAAAAACAAAUCAUAAAUCCUUUGUAUAAGAUUGUCACAACGUUCACAAAGAUAUCACGAUAUGUUUCCUCUCUUUGUUUGUCCACUAAGGUGCUAUGAUCAGCGAUAAUUUGGUUCGGAACUUCCAAAUACCUCAACUUCAUUGACUGGAAAUUGUUGCACUGGAAUUCUAGCGUGAUCAAUUGUCCCACAAGCUCUUGAUCGUCUGCCAUGAGCUCCUCCACGUAACGCUCAACACGGGAAACUGCUGUGAGGAUUCUCUCUAGUACACGGAAGCUCAUCGACUUUGAAGAUGCAAUCAACGAUAAGGCUUGUAGAAUGGUAAUCACUUGUGGCACACAGAAGUAAUCUCAGAAGGUAGAGUGAACUGCGGUAGCUGGUUGGAGGCUCGAAUGGCCAAUUUUAUGUAUAGAACAUACCUUUGUAACGACAGUUAAGAAGAAACACAGAUUAGGAAAAUACAGCGUUGGAACUUCCUGGAUUCGGUUGGGCAUCAAGCAUACCUUUGAAUUGUACAGGGCAGAGAUUAGCAAUAAGUAAGACAAUAGAUAUCCCAGUGGAGCCGGGCAGGAGAAGUCAUUUACCUUUGGAGAUACAGGUGAGAAAUACAUUAGUAGCCUCUCUGGUGAGAAGGAACAAUUUUGCUUUCUCGUAGCUCCUGUAGCUGCCGGAUGUCUAGGGGUUCCGAAGGGGUCGGAUGAGAUGGAGAAGAAAAAUGCACGGAUUCUUACCAACACCAAUUUAAUGUAAUUUAAAUUAAAGUUUUGAAAUAUAAAUUGUGGCGCGAGACGCCUUUGAUUCACUUUAUAAAUUUACUAUAAAAUCUAAGCCCGAUGGGACUAACGCGGCUUGAUAAAAUUUAAUUUCCCAAAAAAGAGUUUGGGACUCGUGGUUGCCAUGAAGUAUACUGACGGAAGGAAGUAACAAAGAUAGAAAAAUGAUGGCGGUUAAAAAUUGCAAA